rnacentral:rRNA from 1 species
CCAGACUCCUACGGGAGGCAGCAGUGGGGAAUAUUGCACAAUGGGGGAAGCCCUGAUGCAGCAACGCCGCGUGGGUGAAGAAGUAUUUCGGUAUGUAAAGCCCUACCAGCAGGGAAGAGAAUGACGGUACCUGACUAAGAAGCCCCGGCUAACUACGUGCCAGCAGCCGCGGUAAUACGUAGGGGGCAAGCGUUAUCCGGAUUUACUGGGUGUAAAGGGAGCGUAGACGGUUGUGCAAGUCUGAAGUGAAAGCCCGCGGCUCAACUGCGGAACGGCUUUGGAAACUGUGUAACUGGAGUGCUGGAGAGGUAAGUGGAAUUCCUAGUGUAGCGGUGAAAUGCGUAGAUAUUAGGAGGAACACCAGUGGCGAAGGCGGCCUGCUGGACCGCGACUGACGUUGAGGCUCGAAAGCGUGGGGAGCGAACAGGAUUAGAUACCCGCGUA